rnacentral:lncRNA from 1 species
GGAAGAGAGACGCAACAGAAACGCAACGAGACGAACAAACACAAACACAAACGGACACACAGCGCAAUCUCCCGUGUGCACCCGAUCGAUCGGCUGGUGGAGUGAAGGUAAGUUAUGUGUGUGUGCGUGAAUAUGUGGGUGUACAGCUCUGCCGCAGGCCAGUGACAAACUCCUUUGUCACAAACUACAUGGUUUGCGUUGUUGCCGAGGCACCAUACGUAUGAUCGCAAACAACGUACCCGUGAAGCACAACUGGAUGUACGGGAAGCAGAGUGGUUCUUAAAGUUCGUAUUUUUCGCGAACCUGAAAAUUAAGUUUCUCCACGUAAUCUAGAAAGUUUUUCCUUAUUCCUUAAGCGGAAUUUUAUUUUAGACAGCAUGUUUGCCAUACACAGCUUUACAUUUUAGAGACAAAUUUAUAGCAGGUAUACCAUAGCAAUUUCCAAAGAGAUAAACAAGAAAAUAAACGUUUUUACAUUUCAUUUUUUUAUUUACAGGAAAAGCAUUUGUAGUCUGCUUCUGUUGCUGGAUUAUUAACGCAGGCCACGUGGAACCAUCGCCCACAUUGGUCACAGGAAAUCUAAAAAUAGAGAGGGGGUAUUAAUAAUACAUCUGCCUCAUAAUAAAAAGGGAAGCAACGUUGUAAGCAAAAUGUUCGUGUUAUUCAAUCAUAUGCUAUGAUUAAAAAAUAAAUAAAUAAAACUUGCUUACAAUGCAU